rnacentral:tRNA from 1 species
GGCAUCGUGGCUCAGUGGAAAGAGCACGGGCUUUGGAGUCGGCGGUCAUGGGUUCGAAUCCCACUCUGCCA